UAUUUUGUAAAAAUCUCAUUUAUUCAUUAACAUUUUCAUAGAGAGAGAUUUAUAUAUACUUUUCACUCUUUCCUCUCCCCCUCCCACCUGCAGGGCCGUGUAGUGAUGACACACACGUUGUGUGAUGAUCCUCAGUGUCAAUGGGGGGGGGGCAGCGGGCGAAACAGCGGGCGAGGGCAUUUCUCGGGAAAGGAGGGAGCGGGGGUAAGGAUGAGAUACAGAGCAUGCCAAGGACAGGUUGGGGUGAGAUUUUGAGGGGUUGGGGGAAGGCUAUACAAACAAAACCACUACUUUUUGUACUGGUAAGAUAACCGCAGAGGGAAGAGGUGAUUGAUUCCUGUCAUAUAGGAAGUUACAUGUGUUGGAAAAAAUAAAUACAAAUGGUGAAUCAGAUGGCAUACUAUUUCCCCAAAUAGUGCAACUUUCACAAGAAUUAAUGCAGACAAAAAUGACAUACUAUAGCUGAAAAUAGUGACGUUGUGGAUUUGGGACGACCAAAUACACACAAACUAGUUUUCAGUGCCUUCCAUGAAUAAAAUUAGAAACAUUGACAUAACUCCAGACAGCUGAGCGAAUACUGAAGUCUGCCUACCAGUUAAAAGCCUCUGAGGACUGACAAUUGAGUAGCCCUUAUCGCACACCAGGUAAUACAGUGAUUCACCUAUAGAAUUUAAACUACAACACAACUAGAACAAGCUGAAUUCAGAGAAAAGUUAUUUAGGGGCCAGCAACCAUAUCUGGUGCUCUUCUUCAGUAAUCCACCAUUCUACUCCACAAACAGUAGCUAAAUAAGGCAAGUUAAUCCAAAGACAUGUUCUUUUAGUUAAACCCUAUCAAAUUGUGACUAUGGCAUCAAAUCUGCCUAGCUCAAUUUUGAAAUGGGCUUACUAGUUCUUCAUUUGGCAUUUUGAUUGGUUUUGCACAAUAGCUCCAAGUUCCUGUCUCCCCUUGACCAACUAUAGGUUCCUAAAGAACAAAUACAUUUUAAAGAAUUCACUUAAAAUCUUGUGGUCGAAGGGUUAUGGUCGGCAACUCUUCAGUGACCUUGAUUUUUCUUGUCUACUGUGAGGCCAACUUUUGUUCAGUCAUAUUCACUGUAGAGUCCGCAAUAUAUUUACUGUCCUUUUGGUUCCUGAAAUGUUAAACAUGUUGCCAGCCAGGCAAUGUAAAUAUAUGUUUCACUGCACAGACGCUGUGUCUGUCUGACUGAAUCACACACUAUAUAGGUGAGAACAAAAUGGAGAUCAUCUCACCUGGCAUUAUCAGAACCUUGGUGAUAGUACUUGGGGGAAAGGAGACCAUUUCUAAGAAUUAGAACAUGUCAAUUAGGCUUUAUCUCUCUGGCCCUUUAAGAGACAUCACUAGAGAAAGAAGAGGUCAAAGGCAAAUUGCACUGCUCCCUAAGGCCACUCUGGAAAGACCUUUCAACCCAAUCAAAAAAGAAGCACCCUUCCUACAGGUAAAAACAAAUCUAAUUCAUUUUUCCACAGCAUUCCCAAAGUAACAUAAGUCACUUCAGCAAUUACAUCAAUGUAUGAUUUUUAACCAUUUUGGAAAAAGGCUUCAUUAAAACUGACUCUAUUACAACCUAAAAGGUUGCUCAGAAUAAUAGAUCAUAUACACUUUCUUGUAAAUCACACCCUGGACCACGCAAACUACACACUUUGAUGGAAUUUAGAAAACAGCCUACCUAUUCAGACCCCAUCACAGCUAUAACUGCCUUUCCUAGUUCUGAAUGGCCUAAAACGCUGUGCCUCCUGGACAUGAGCGGUUAUAGACCAACAGCGAAGCUGGCUCACAAGUAACAGGUUAUGCAGAGUAAAUCACUGGGGUUUUAGGUUCACAUGCGAUGGCUUUUGAUGAAUGUGCCCCAGAAUGACACAUGCUGCCCUAUUGACACCACCAAGUGGCUCAGAUCUCUGUGAUUGAAGAGGACCCUCCACUAAAAUCAUCUGGUAAGUCAUUGCAGCACAUAUGAAUAGCAGGAAUCAAUGUAAAUGCACAUCAGCACAUGCCUAGUGUGCUGAUAUGUAUUGCUAGGUGCGUUCUUUCUUACCGAAGACUACUCUGUAAAUCGUGGGUCAUUCCAUUAAAGCACAGAAUGCUUGGAGUAGCAGCCGAGGCAGACUUCAGACAUGGCCCAUGUCUUCUGUCCAGCCAACAUCCCAGGGACGAUCUUAAAUGCAUACACUACUGCUCUUCGCAAGCUGUUCUGCUCAUUUUGAGGAGAUGACGAGGGAGGAGGCAGAGUAUGAAAUUUAGAUCUUCCACAUAAUGCUUUUGUGCAUACGGCAUGACAACAAUAUUUAUCAAAUUUUACUAAAGCACGUUACAUAGAUCCAGGACCGGGCUUAGUGUCUAAGACUAGAGGUUGAUAUGAAACAGUGCAUAGAUGCUGAUAACAAUCACCCUUUUUCUCUAGCUGGAGGUGUUGAAUAAUGUAAGGCAGCAGUGACCAAUUGGGUUCACCGGUCAGAAACAAUUCCCAUUUUUGGCCUGUGUUGUCUCCAUUUCUGACCUAUAACAUGACAUCUCCAAGUCACUUUGUUAAACUGUGAUACCUCAGACGGAGAGCUGAGGCUUUGACAUGACUGGAUUCACUGACAGUCCUUAGUUCAUGGUGUGACGUUUGCCCACAGGCAGGCCGACGAUUAGCUGAGCUGAACUCACCCCUGGACUAUGUGCACUGCAGAAUCCCUUUAUACAUAUCAGGUAGACAGACUGAGGUGUUUCAGGUAAUGCAUGCUGUCUCACGUAAGGCCAGAUUGUCCACCCGGAAUUUGAAGGGGAAUCUGUUCCUGGACAGGAGACAUCUACCUGGGAUGUUUAAAUGUCAGUGUGAGAAUGACCCUAGCCACGCAUCUACUCAGGGAACUUGACUGUAUGGUCCCGGGGCUGUCCCCGGCUUAACACUUCAAAACAACAGCCCCCUCCAAAAGAAACUGGGUGAGUAAUCAGUGUGAUAACACUUUGAACUAGAGGAAUGAGGGGAAUAUGAAAGUGACAUGGGUGGACAGAAAACUGGAUAAUAGCAUCUGCUAAAUGACAAAAAUUUAAAAAAUUAAAUAAUAAAAAAAUAGAUAAAUGACAACAGGUUAUCUACCAGUAAGGAGUCCAUGGAAAACAACACCUCUCCAUGUUCAUUUCUAAAGCAGCAUGGUAAUCUCAGCCAUACACUGAAAACAUCUGAAGGUACAUUUACAAGGCAAUGUUUUUUUUGUUUUUUUUAAAUAUACUAUUAUGGCAUGUGACCAUUGUCUCAAAAUAUCCCUUUAAAGCAUCACCUCCC
ensembl:lncRNA